GACCGCGUGGCCUAAUGGAUAAGGCGUCUGACUUCGAAUCAGAAGAUUGCAGGUUCGAGUCCUGCCGUGGUCG